UGGCAGCGUUCAGAAAUUGAAUUUCUGAAUACAUCCACAGUCCAGGUAUAUUUCAGACAGAUGCUCUCAUUCUCAGACUGCCCUGCCAAUGACCUUAACCCUGAUUUGGAAGGACAAUGCAAUCUACUAUAAAGAGGAGAGGUGAUUUAGUCUCCAGCCAUGCUGACAGAGUCUUGG
rnacentral:sRNA from 12 species